rnacentral:rRNA from 1 species
UACGUAGGGUGCGAGCGUUGUCCGGAAUUAUUGGGCGUAAAGAGCUCGUAGGCGGUUUGUUGCGUCGGCUGUGAAAACCUGCGGCUUAACUGUGGGCUUGCAGUCGAUACGGGCAGACUUGAGUUCGGCAGGGGAGACUGGAAUUCCUGGUGUAGCGGUGAAAUGCGCAGAUAUCAGGAGGAACACCGGUGGCGAAGGCGGGUCUCUGGGCCGAUACUGACGCUGAGGAGCGAAAGCGUGGGAAGCGAACAGG